rnacentral:rRNA from 2 species
AGAGUUUGAUCCUGGCUCAGGAUGAACGCUGGCGGCGUGCCUAAUACAUGCAAGUCGAGCGAACGGACGAGAAGCUUGCUUCUCUGAUGUUAGCGGCGGACGGGUGAGUAACACGUGGAUAACCUACCUAUAAGACUGGGAUAACUUCGGGAAACCGGAGCUAAUACCGGAUAAUAUUUUGAACCGCAUGGUUCAAAAGUGAAAGACGGUCUUGCUGUCACUUAUAGAUGGAUCCGCGCUGCAUUAGCUAGUUGGUAAGGUAACGGCUUACCAAGGCAACGAUGCAUAGCCGACCUGAGAGGGUGAUCGGCCACACUGGAACUGAGACACGGUCCAGACUCCUACGGGAGGCAGCAGUAGGGAAUCUUCCGCAAUGGGCGAAAGCCUGACGGAGCAACGCCGCGUGAGUGAUGAAGGUCUUCGGAUCGUAAAACUCUGUUAUUAGGGAAGAACAUAUGUGUAAGUAACUGUGCACAUCUUGACGGUACCUAAUCAGAAAGCCACGGCUAACUACGUGCCAGCAGCCGCGGUAAUACGUAGGUGGCAAGCGUUAUCCGGAAUUAUUGGGCGUAAAGCGCGCGUAGGCGGUUUUUUAAGUCUGAUGUGAAAGCCCACGGCUCAACCGUGGAGGGUCAUUGGAAACUGGAAAACUUGAGUGCAGAAGAGGAAAGUGGAAUUCCAUGUGUAGCGGUGAAAUGCGCAGAGAUAUGGAGGAACACCAGUGGCGAAGGCGACUUUCUGGUCUGUAACUGACGCUGAUGUGCGAAAGCGUGGGGAUCAAACAGGAUUAGAUACCCUGGUAGUCCACGCCGUAAACGAUGAGUGCUAAGUGUUAGGGGGUUUCCGCCCCUUAGUGCUGCAGCUAACGCAUUAAGCACUCCGCCUGGGGAGUACGACCGCAAGGUUGAAACUCAAAGGAAUUGACGGGGACCCGCACAAGCGGUGGAGCAUGUGGUUUAAUUCGAAGCAACGCGAAGAACCUUACCAAAUCUUGACAUCCUUUGACAACUCUAGAGAUAGAGCCUUCCCCUUCGGGGGACAAAGUGACAGGUGGUGCAUGGUUGUCGUCAGCUCGUGUCGUGAGAUGUUGGGUUAAGUCCCGCAACGAGCGCAACCCUUAAGCUUAGUUGCCAUCAUUAAGUUGGGCACUCUAAGUUGACUGCCGGUGACAAACCGGAGGAAGGUGGGGAUGACGUCAAAUCAUCAUGCCCCUUAUGAUUUGGGCUACACACGUGCUACAAUGGACAAUACAAAGGGCAGCGAAACCGCGAGGUCAAGCAAAUCCCAUAAAGUUGUUCUCAGUUCGGAUUGUAGUCUGCAACUCGACU